rnacentral:rRNA from 1 species
UACGGAGGGGGCGAGCGUUAUUCGGAAUUAUUGGGCGUAAAGGGCGCGUAGGUGCGCUGGGCAAGUCAAAGGUGAAAUCCCUCGGCUCAACUGAGGAACUGCCUUUGAAACUGCCUGGCUUGAGGCCGGGAGGGGGUAGCGGAAUUCCCAGUGUAGCGGUGAAAUGCGUAGAUAUUGGGAGGAACACCAGUGGCGAAGGCGGCUACCUGGACCGGUUCUGACGCUGAUGCGCGAAAGCGUGGGUAGCAAACAGG